CCUUCUGUGGGAUGAAAGAGAGCAUCAGGCACUCAGCUCCAGAGCCAGGACUCCAGCCCCUGCCAGCAGCAGGUAGCACACACCAGGGAUUUUGUGAGUGUGGAAAAUAAGGGAAGCUGGCUUGGAAGGAUGGAAACAGAACAGAGGGAUGCUGGAAGCUCCGGACCCAAGAUUGAGCUCACUGUGCCUGGCAGGCCUGAGCUCUGAAGCUUUCGGGCUCAGGCUGUCCAUCAGCCUGGGAGUAUUCCCAUGGGUGUCACACUCUCAUCUUCAGGGACCUGGAUAAGACACCCCUGGUGGCUAAAGGGGACUGGCUAUUCAUCAGAAGCAUGCCAUGUAUCGGACACUGGCCUACAUGUAUUAAUAUAGCUUUAAAGACCUGGUUUUCAAAACCCACCCUGUGAUAUUCAUCUUUCACCCCCUGGCACAGUGACAGAGACCGAUCAUCACCUGUCCUCCAGCCCAUGCGGUCAAUGAUCAUGUCUGCUGGAUUGCUGUGCCUUUGGACCUAUCCUGGGAGAGUUAGCCCCAAGUGAUCUGAGAUCAGCUCCUCAUGACCGCAUUAUCCCCAAAGUCAGGGAUCUGUGGACACUGACCUGGUGGUCAUAACUCAGAGCUUGCUGCGUUGACUUUGGAAUCAUCAAGUACAGUAAGUUCUCCCGUGAGGGACAAACCCUGCUGAGCACCUCUCCCUAGGAUGACCAGCACCACAUCUUUGGGAUUGCAGGAUGGGGCCUUGGUUGAAUAUUCAUUUCCAUUCAAAAGACUAAUCGCUAACAAAAACUCAGGGUGGUGGUGGGGCUGCCAAAUUAGGCUGGAACCUUCUACCCUAAGUGGGCAAAGGGGGCACUCAAAAGACUCACUAAGCUCACAAAACUAAAGACUCCAGAGAUUCGUCUCCCCAAAGUUAUAUAAGCAAUAAGCAAUUUCUGGGAGAGAGGGGACUCUGCUGGGGGCUAAUGGCAAACUGUACAGGGAAACCUCAUUGACACUGCUCCCAUGCGUCAUCCUAGUGCUUCAGGAGGACCUCUAAGUGUUGCCCCUGCCCAAGUCAUCCACGCUCCUGUAAUUAACUCCUCAGCCAAGUGUCUCCAAGAAGCUCACCCAUUCACCAAGCUAGCCCUCUGAGGAAUCAUGUCUCUGAUCCAUCACCGACUGCCCGGCCUGAGGCAGACAGUUGUUCAAGUCUCCCCUGGGUACUGGAGCAAGGACCAACAGAACUAAAGUAUGUGUGGGAGGAGCAACAGCAUCACCCCUGAUGAGCGUGGUAAGAGAUACAGCUCAGGUUGAGCCAUCUGAGAGUAGAGCAUCCUUGGGGGAGGUCCCCAGGGGAGCCGUUUUUCUUUACAUGGCACAGAGUGACAAAUCCCCUUGGUAAAUGGGGUCUGACACUUGACUAUGGGGACACUCUGCAAACUGAUGAUGGACCAGCAGAGCCCUACUGAAAAGGGAGGAAGUACAUUGGGAAAGACAUACAGGUGCACCUUAACAUUGUCCACCCCAGUGGGUAGGGAAUGUGGGCAAAGUAAGGAAGGAUGGAUGCUUGGCUUGUCAUCCUCACACCUGGAGAGACAUAUGAGAAAGAGAAGAGCUAUUCCUGGCAUCCCAAAGGGAGACGCUGUACUGGGUAGUUUUGUGUCAACUUGACACAGGCUGGAGUUAUCACAGAGAAAGGAGCUUCAGUUGAGGAA